AAUAGAUACCCAGGUAGUCCACGCCGUAAACGAUGAGUGCUAGGUGUUAGGGGGGUCCAACCCCUUAGUGCUGAAGUUAACACAUUAAGCACUCCGCCUGGGGAGUACGACCGCAAGGUUGAAACUCAAAGGAAUUGACGGGGGCCCGCACAAGCAGUGGAGCAUGUGGUUUAAUUCGAAGCAACGCGAAGAACCUUACCAGGUCUUGACAUCCUCUGACAACCCUAGAGAUAGGGCGUUCCCCUUCGGGGGGACAGAGUGACAGGUGGUGCAUGGUUGUCGUCAGCUCGUGUCGUGAGAUGUUGGGUUAAGUCCCGCAACGAGCGCAACCCUUGAUGUUAGUUGCCAGCAUUCAGUUGGGCACUCUAACGUGACUGCCGGUGACAAACCGGAGGAAGGUGGGGAUGACGUCAAAUCAUCAUGCCCCUUAUGACCUGGGCUACACACGUGCUACAAUGGGCGGUACAAAGGGCAGCGAAACCGCGAGGUGAGCCAAUCCCAUAAAGCCGCUCUCAGUUCGGAUUGCAGGCUGCAACGUCCG
rnacentral:rRNA from 1 species